UACGUAGGUGGCAAGCGUUGUCCGGAAUUAUUGGGCGUAAAGCGCGCGCAGGCGGCCUCUUAAGUCUGAUGUGAAAGCCCCCGGCUCAACCGGGGAGGGCCAUUGGAAACUGGGAGGCUUGAGUAUAGGAGAGAAGAGUGGAAUUCCACGUGUAGCGGUGAAAUGCGUAGAGAUGUGGAGGAACACCAGUGGCGAAGGCGACUCUUUGGCCUAUAACUGACGCUGAGGCACGAAAGCGUGGGGAGCAAACAGG
rnacentral:rRNA from 1 species